rnacentral:rRNA from 1 species
GACGAACGCUGGCGGCGUGCUUAACACAUGCAAGUCGAACGGAAGGGCCCUGCUUUUGUGGGGUGCUCGAGUGGCGAACGGGUGAGUAACACGUGAGUAACCUGCCCUUGACUUUGGGAUAACUUCAGGAAACUGGGGCUAAUACCGGAUAGGAGCUCCUGCUGCAUGGUGGGGGUUGGAAAGUUUCGGCGGUUGGGGAUGGACUCGCGGCUUAUCAGCUUGUUGGUGGGGUAGUGGCUUACCAAGGCUUUGACGGGUAGCCGGCCUGAGAGGGUGACCGGCCACAUUGGGACUGAGAUACGGCCCAGACUCCUACGGGAGGCAGCAGUGGGGAAUAUUGCACAAUGGGCGGAAGCCUGAUGCAGCAACGCCGCGUGCGGGAUGGCGGCCUUCGGGUUGUAAACCGCUUUCGCCUGUGACGAAGCGUGAGUGACGGUAAUGGGUAAAGAAGCACCGGCUAACUACGUG